CCCGCUCUCGGCUCGGCUUUCGGCUCGCUCGGGGCUUCCUGCGAGCUCCGGAGCCACGUGGACCGCAGCCGGCUCGGCGGAGGCCAGGCUGGGGAGACGCCGGAGGCGGCGCGGGGACCGGAUCGCCGCCCCGGGAGGGCUCUGCGGGGACAGCUCCGCGACACUCCGCGCCGCCGCUGCCGCCGCCGCUGCCCACGGGCUGGAAAGACUAGGGAAGAAUCGCCCGGAGACCCGUGGGGUCAACCCCGGGGAGGAGGCGACGGGCGCCCACCCAGAGGACGUGGCGGUGUCCUGAAGAGCCCAAGUCGGCCGCACCGUAGCACAGAAGAGGCCGGCCGACACCCUGUUGGUGACCGGGCAAAGCCAUGGACUUCCUUUAAGGGCGCGGGACUCGAGGUGGGAUUGAGGGAGGGGGAGGGGAGGAGCGCGGCGGGGCUGGGGCCCUGGUAAGGCCCGAGCCUGGGCCCCGUUCCGAGCCGCAGAGCGGCCACAGCGGCGCGGUCCCCGCCCCGGCUUGCCUGCCCGCCGCAGUUUUUUCUUCCCAGAUGCGGAGGCUGCACCGCGGUCCAGGGCAGGGUGAGCGCCAGGCAGCGGGACGCCAGGCAGGGGCAGGGCCCACGGCGACCUGGGACUGGGGCUUCUGGGACCGGACCCCCUGUGGGACUCAGGUGAAUCUGGAGAGACGACCAGAUUGAGCAAGUAAGUGGCCCCCAAACAUCCAGCUGCUGGUUCUCCUUUGCAGCCAAGAGCCAAAGACAGCUCUUAAUUUCAGCCCUAGGUCCUUGGCAGUUCCCGCCGGUGACUCCACAGUAAAAUGAAAAUUCCUAAUUAAGUGACUCUAUGGUGAAGCAUGCAUAUAUCAUCACCUUAUCUAGAAAAAGAUUUCCAUCAGCUGCACCUUUUCCCGCUCUCGGUCUCGGAGGGGUUAACCCGGCCAGGCUUUUUCUCGCCCGCCUCAGUUGUGUUGCAAUGUUAUUUCUUACCAGGUGACAGACAGGGCCUCUCCCCCUCUCGGGUUUGUCCUCUAUUCCAUGGAGGCAGCACUUGCGAGGCUUUCGGGGAGCCCACAUCCUCCGGGGCUAUGUGUCAGGGGUGUGUGUGAGGGCAUUCCUCGUUGUCAUCCCGAGUGUCUCCUAACAUGCCCUGCCUAGUACAGCCGCCAUAGUCAUUACUGGGAGUGUCUGCACAGUGAGUCCCCCCAGGGAGCCCUGACAUUGAUGUAAUGCUCACCCCCCUCCCGCCCCCGUGUGUUCAGAGCAACUGCAAAGCUCUCGGUAAUAAUGGUGAAGGAAAUUGAUUUCAUCCUCUCCCCGCCCCCUUUCUUCACACAUCAGAAAGGAGGGAUCCUAAUGGGCCCUGAUGCUAUCUGGGUGAUUGGGCAGAAAAGGGCAGCCCGGCUUGUCAGCGGUGAGUUCAGAGCUGCUGGGCACGUGGCCGUUUGUUUUGGGCAGGGUUUUACUUACCACGGUUUUGGGGCCCCAACUUCCCUUACGAUAAAAAGAGGUAAUAGGGGGAUGUACUGAGAGAAGCCGGAAGGAGAGACACAGCCAGGCUUCCUGGCUCUGGCUCUGUCCCUCUUUCCCUCCCUCCGCUUUCUCUCCCUGCUCUUGCCCCCUCUCUGCUCUGUUCCAUCCCUGCCCACGGUCUCCUUCUGCUAAGUCCUAGGGUCUGCCCUGAACUGUUCCUGGUGUCUGCGGCCCCAGCCCCUGUACGGCGGGGCAGCUGUCAAAACAGUCCUUGUUCCACAGUUUCACUUUCCGCUGUUCAUCUCUUCCGGAUUUUCGUUUUUCCAGAAGAGGAAUCUGACUGGCAGGCUUCACCGGGUCCUGGGUCAACAGCCCAGCGGUGAAUGGGCUGCCCAGGCAGCAAGUGCCCACCUGAAGAGUAAGCACGUGGAAGGAGAGCUACACGUUUUGCAUUACGGGGACUGCAGGACUCAUAACGCUUAAGCCCCCUUCCAGUUCUGAGAAUCUUGGGGGCAUUUGAGUCAGCAGAACUGUUUCGCAGAAUCACAACGCUUUACACUAUUCACACACGUUAGACCCAACAUCCAUGCGAAGGCAGCUGAUUAAUCUUGUCCAAUCGCGACCGCACUAAUCUCUUUGCCAGAAUUUGGCUCAGGAAUACAUAGAUUUAAUCCCUGUUUGAAUCAAGAAGACAAAGAAAUAUAUUUGUGUUUUCUAGGAAAAGAGGCCUUAAGACUAAGGCCUGGGAAGCUUCUCUUUAUUUCCAACUGGACGUGAACAGGAAGGUGUUUUUAACUCCAGUUUCUCUGGACGACAUCUUGUACCCAUGAGGGGAGACAAACUGAAGCUAAGUAGAUCCAGAGCCCUGAUCACACCGUACCUGAAGCCUAGCUCUAGACUUUCUGUUGUAUUAGAACAAUUAUUUUGUUUAAGCCACUUUAGGUCAUGGUUCUGUUACUUGCUGCCAGAUGCUUGAGAACCAUACGCAGCUACAGCCAGGUUCCUUUCUCCCCCAAAGUCCCUUCACUGCCCCCAAGGCAUUCCCAAGCUCAGAACCCUUAAAUCUUCAAUGGCUGCCAUUGUCUAAGGAUGCCAAUCCAAACUUCUGAGCCUAGAGAUCCAGAGGUCUAAUGCAAGGCCUGGGAUGAGGGAACUCUGCUUCUUAGCACUGAUCACUGUAUCGUCAGAGUUUUUGCCGUUCUGGGCUGCAGGACCCUUAAAGAACCAUGCCUCCUCCACAUCGUAGACACUGGGUCCAGCCCUCCUGGAUGCUACCAUAACAAAUUACCGCGAGCCGGGGGCCCCACACAGCAGACGUGUAUUUUCUCACAGCUCAGGAGGCCAGAAGUCUGAAAUCAAAGUUUCCGCUGGAUGGGCUCCUGUUGGGAGCUCUGAGCGAGAAUCUGGCCUGUGCCUUUCUCCCAGCUUCUGGUGGCUCCUGGCAAUCUUCGGCCUUCCUUGGCUUGUAGAUGAUCCCUUCACAUGGCUCUGUGUGUGUGUGUGUGUGUGUGUGUGUGUGUGUGCGUGUGCGCGCGCGUGUGUGCGUGUGUGUGUGAGUGCGUGCCUCCUCCUUUUGUAAGGACAGCAGUCACUGGGCACUUGGGGCCCACCUUAAUUCACCACAUACUGUGCUAAAUGCUGGGGACGUGGAGGUGGGCACAACACGGUCCCCGCCCACCAGGAGCCCACAGUUUGGCAGAGGACUGACCAUGCUUGAGAUUUCACCAUGUUGGGGCAGCGCUGUGACAGGCUAACAGGUGGGUGUAGUGAGGUCACUUAGAGGAUGCUGGUUCACAAACCCGGGAGCAUUUGGAGUGUAGUCUGAAACUGACCGCACGCACAGAAGAUAGGGAGAGACCGAAGACAGAGGCGGGUCACUCCACGUUGGUAAGUGGCAGGUUGAAUAAGCAAGAGAACUUACUUACAAGCCUGAUCUUGAGUGCCUCAAGAUGAAUAGAUACCUGAACCCACCUUGUAGAAUCUUAAAAGUUUAGAGAGAGGCCCUUGUGAGGUUCGGUCAUAUACCCCGUCAAGGCGGUCUCCACAACCCCUGUCCCUGAAGACGACUCCCUCUGUGGGAACAGGGUGUGGGAGAGACUGCAUGUACAUUCCCAGGACAGGGGAGGGGGAGAAGGCCUUCCACUUACCCGGGGUCAGCUCUCGGGUCAGCCGGCAGUCACGUCUUCCUGAUGACCUCCUCCAUUGGAGGGCAGCUCCUGGGGGACAGGCGUCCUGGGAUCUCAGGGAGAACUAGGUGAGAGCAGGGGGGUGGGUGCGGUGUGCAGGAGGCGUGAGCCCAUCUGGUUCACGUACCACCUGCUAAGCCGGGUGGAACAGACUGUGGACUUCGCUCUGCAUGCUGGCAGAGGCUCCGAGACUUCACACACCGGGCAGAGAGGCAACGGGGACGCGGCGACAUUUGCAUGCUGGCCAGACCACUCGGGCAGCCUCGGGAGGCCGGCGCUGGGGUGUCCAGACUGGAGGGCAUGUUCGUUCCGGGAAUCCAGCAGAGGCCAGGGGUCUGACCUGAGGAAGGAGCAGAAGUGAGACAUCUGGGCAGGCAUCACCCGUCUUUCAUGGCGAGGCCGGCAGAAGCAUGAUAGGUUGACAGAAAAACCUUUGAUCCCCGAAGGCCUCACAACGGGUUCAGGGUUGGUAACAUCUUCCCUCCGAUCCCUUGUUUUGUGAGGGAGAACGUUUAACCAUGCUCAGCCCGGUUUCUCGAAGGUACCAUAGUGAGAUUGUUUUUAUUAAAAGAAAAAAAAAGUGUGUAA